GAUGAACGCUGGCGGCGUGCCUAAUACAUGCAAGUCGAGCGAACGGACGAGAAGCUUGCUUCUCUGAUGUUAGCGGCGGACGGGUGAGUAACACGUGGAUAACCUACCUAUAAGACUGGGAUAACUUCGGGAAACCGGAGCUAAUACCGGAUAAUAUUUUGAACCGCAUGGUUCAGAAGUGAAAGACGGUCUUGCUGUCACUUAUAGAUGGAUCCGCGCUGCAUUAGCUAGUUGGUAAGGUAACGGCUUACCAAGGCAACGAUGCAUAGCCGACCUGAGAGGGUGAUCGGCCACACUGGAACUGAGACACGGUCCAGACUCCUACGGGAGGCAGCAGUAGGGAAUCUUCCGCAAAGGGCGAAAGCCUGACGGAGCAACGCCGCGUGAGUGAUGAAGGUCUUCGGAUCGUAAAACUCUGUUAUUAGGGAAGAACAUAUGUGUAAGUAACUGUGCACAUCUUGACGGUACCUAAUCAGAAAGCCACGGCUAACUACGUG
rnacentral:rRNA from 1 species